rnacentral:pre_miRNA from 1 species
GCUCCUUCGCCCAGUGUUCAGACUACCUGUUAAGGACAAUGCCGUUGUACAGCAGUCUGCAUAUCGGUUAGACUGGGCA